GAGGCUGCGUGACAACCACACUGUCUAAAAACCGUUGAAGAUAAGUGCACGUGUAAGAUUGUCCAAGCAGGUUAUUCCAGGUGACUUUUUGGGCUUGCCAGGAAGUUGAUGUGAAAAUAAGCGUAGCACAACAUCAGCAGGAUUUUUUGAAGGACUUUGGUGGAGAAGACACAUCUGAAGGCGUCUUUCUCAGCAAGGAAAUGACGUUCUUGUUUUCCACCACAUGUGGUUCAUUGCAGCUUGCAGUAUGUUCUUGGUUUUAUUUCCUCCAAAAGAGAUGGGCGGUAUAUGCAGAGCUGCAAAUACAGAAGUGAGAUUGCGUUUGGCGCCAGUUAAGUCAGUGUGCAUCUUCGACGGACGUUACUUUUUCUCAUUUGUACACGGGGCUGGAGUACCGUGACUGGAGGGAAAGUCAUCCACAAAAGGGUUGGCAACAAGAGCUGUCCAUCGAGUGCACAGACAACCCGUUAGGACGACCUGCAGUCGUCGUAUAUGAUAAUGAAACAGUCCCGAUGGUCAUGGAACCACCGAGGCCUGAGGCACCACGCAACGACUACAAUAACGCUAUGUUAUACAAUUAUCACCUUUUUAUGUGUAUUAUUUUAUUUAUUGGAGGAGUGCAACAAACUAAUCAGACAUAGAACUGUCACUUGGCAGCGCUGUGGCUCAUACUUCCUUUCAAAUAUAACUAAAUAUUUGAAUUAAAGGAUGUUAUGUGUUGGAUGUUUUGGAGUCUUUGCUUGAUGUUAUGCAAACUGUGGACAAAUGAGACUUUUUUCCGCUCAAAUACAUAUUUCCUCAAAUGUUUAUUAGAAAGGAAAGCUAUUUGUUUGAAGGGAGGCCUUUAUUUGCAUAAACGCACUUUUACAAUAUGUCUUAAUAUCAAAAGUUAAGUUGUUUAUUUGAGGUGAGGCCUAUAUUUGUAUAAAACAAUAGAGGCAAGGUGUCUACUUGAGAUGUCCUAAUGCAUUCAUAAAACAAUGAUAAAUAACAUAUUUAUAUUGCUUUUCACAAAAUAUGUAUUAUGACUGCACUUCUAUAAUAUUUAUUAAUAGUAAAGCCAAGGUGUUUAUUUGAAGGGAAGGCAUUUAGUUGAACAAAAAUGCACUUUAAAAAUAUUGAAUCUAUCAAAUGUCAGGUGUUUUCUUUUUUAGGGGAGGUUUAAAAAUAUGUAUUCAUGUUAAAAGGCAUGUUUAUUUGAGGGGAGGCCUUCAUGUGUACAAAUACACUUUUUAAAUUUUUAUCAAGAGUAAAUUUAAGGGGUGAAGGGAUGCCUUUAUUUGUACAAAUGCAACUUCAAAAUAUUUAAUAAAAAAGGUAAGUUGUUUAUUUGAGGGGAGGCUUCUAUUUGUAUAAAUACACUUUAGAGGUGAGGUGUCUAUUUGAGAUGUCCAUAGGCAUUCAUAAAAUCAAGUUUCAUCAUGUGGAUGCAUUAGUAAAUGAACAGUUAAUUCGUGAUACUAUACAUUUACCCCACAAACAAACAUAACGCUAGUGCGUCCGUGUGUGCAAGCGUUUGUGUUGAAGGUGGUCAUCCAGCCAUGACGUACGCAAGCGUAAGCCGAUGAGAAACACUGACACACAUUACAGUAUGACAUACCAUCUCCUUUGAAAAAACAACAUUUUAUCCAAACACAGAACAUCACAAACAACCAACAGUAAAAAGUCAUGUACAAAACAACAAAAAGCUGUUAAAGCAACAUAUUGUUUCGCUUACUGCCAGGCAAACACUCCUCAAAGUGAAAACAAAAUAACAGUACCAAUCUGUCCAUUGAUGGGAUCAUGAAUGGAGAAGCCCCCGGCUGCGUCUCGCGUGCUCAAACGUCUGCAAACAAGUGCCAAGAGAGACAGUUGAGAUAUACACACGUAGUGGUGUGGAAAAGUUUGCAUGUUUGUCACACAUGUUUCAGAUCACCAAACAAAUGUAAAUAAUAGUCCAUGACAACACAACUCAACACUUUAGGCACUUUUUUAAUAAAACUUCUUAUUAUGAAGGGAGGGAAAAAAAAGCCCUGUGUGAAAAGUGAUUGCCCCCUAAAGCUAAUAAGUGGUUGCCCCCCCCUUAGCAGCAACAACUGCAAUCAACUUGCAAUGAGUCUCUUCCAGCGCUGGGGAGGAAUUUAGCAGAAUUGUUGUCAUUCAGCCACAUUGGAGGCUUCUCCUUUUGAAUGUCAUGGGUCAUGCCACAGCAUCUCAAUAGGAUUCAGGUCAGGACAGGUCAAUUUAUUUAUUUAUUUAUUUAUUUAUUUAUUUAUUUAUAUGUAUUAUUUACUUGUAUUGAUGUC